rfam:Camelus ferus unplaced genomic scaffold scaffold313, whole genome shotgun sequence.
AGUAUAGACCAUACCACCCUGAGCGCACUCAGUCACAUCUCAUCUUGGAAGCUAAGCAGGGUCGGGCCUGGUUAGUACUUGGAUGGGAAUCAGCCUUUCAGAAAGCUUCCACCUUUUUGAAAACUUUGUGAUGUUUCUA